rnacentral:rRNA from 1 species
CCUACGGGGGGCAGCAGUGGGGAAUAUUGCACAAUGGGCGAAAGCCUGAUGCAGCAACGCCGCGUGAGCGAUGAAGGUCUUCGGGUCGUAAAGCUCUGUCCUAAGGGAAGAAUAUUGACGGUACCUUAGGAGGAAGCCCCGGCUAACUACGUGCCAGCAGCCGCGGUAAUACGUAGGGGGCUAGCGUUAUCCGGAAUUACUGGGCGUAAAGGGUGCGUAGGCGGCCCUUCAAGUCAGAGGUGAAAGGCUCCGGCUCAACCGUAGUAAGCCUUUCACCUCUGACUUGAGUGCAGGAGAGGAGAGUGGAAUUCCCAGUGGAGCGGUGAAAUGCGUAGAUAUUGGGAGGAACACCAGUUGCGAAGGCGGCUCUCUGGACUGUAACUGACGCUGAGGCACGAAAGCGUGGGGAGCGAACAGGAUUAGAUACCCCUGUAGUC